CCUCACUAGCGCAGCGAGCGUAGUAAGCUUAAAGAUUGUGUUGGUAACGAGUUGCCUAGCAGCGUAAAAAAAUAAUAAAAAAAGAAAUAUUAUAUUAACAGAUCAAUAGAGGUGUUCGUCCUGUACGUUCGUAUAAAAUUGUACUCGUGAAAUAAAUAUUAUAUUUACAGUUACAAAUUAA